UACUUGACUGGGUGUUUGGAUUAAAUGGCACCAGCGGGAGGAGGCAUGGGAAAAGCAAGAAGAUGUUGCACUGACUUCUUAAAAUUUGUUUUCCCCCUAGAGUGGAUCAGCAGGACCUGCCUUUUGAGCUGCCAUCUCCAGGAACCAGAGGAAAAGUUGCUCUUGGAGCCCAUGGGAGCAGGACAUGAAGAAAGGCUGCUUUCCCAAGCGCCUUGUACUGAGCUGUUCUGGAGGACCCCCUUACAGUUUUUGUUUCUUCCUCUUGUGGCAGCCUUUGGGAAUGCUUCACGUCCUACCAUCAAGAAACUUGGAGUGAUAAAAAUGUCCCUGGAAGAAGGAGAUGGCUUUGGUUCAGUUUGCUGCUUCCGGAGAAGAUGCGUGCCCUGGGCUUUUCCACAUCAACCGGCCUCUUUCAACAUCAGACAAGCAGAAGGUUGCCCAAGGUUGGGGCAAGUAGAGCAAAAAGUCCGGUUCUUGAAUACAGAACUAGAAAUGAGGUGACUGAAGGGAAAGGGAAAGCAAGAGC
rnacentral:lncRNA from 1 species